rnacentral:rRNA from 1 species
AGAGUUUGAUCCUGGCUCAGGAUGAACGCUGGCGGCGUGCCUAACACAUGCAAGUCGAGCGAAGCGAUUUGGCGGAAGUUUUCGGAUGGAAGUUAAAUUGACUGAGCGGCGGACGGGUGAGUAACGCGUGGGUAACCUGCCUCAUACAGGGGGAUAACAGUUAGAAAUGACUGCUAAUACCGCAUAAGACCACAGCACCGCAUGGUGCGGGGGUAAAAACUCCGGUGGUAUGAGAUGGACCCGCGUCUGAUUAGCUAGUUGGUAAGGUAACGGCUUACCAAGGCGACGAUCAGUAGCCGACCUGAGAGGGUGACCGGCCACAUUGGGACUGAGACACGGCCCAAACUCCUACGGGAGGCAGCAGUGGGGAAUAUUGCACAAUGGGGGAAACCCUGAUGCAGCGACGCCGCGUGAGUGAAGAAGUAUUUCGGUAUGUAAAGCUCUAUCAGCAGGGAAGAAAAUGACGGUACCUGACUAAGAAGCCCCGGCUAACUACGUGCCAGCAGCCGCGGUAAUACGUAGGGGGCAAGCGUUAUCCGGAUUUACUGGGUGUAAAGGGAGCGUAGACGGACGGGCAAGUCUGAUGUGAAAACCCGGGGCUCAACCCCGGGACUGCAUUGGAAACUGUUCAUCUAGAGUGCUGGAGAGGUAAGUGGAAUUCCUAGUGUAGCGGUGAAAUGCGUAGAUAUUAGGAGGAACACCAGUGGCGAAGGCGGCUUACUGGACAGUAACUGACGUUGAGGCUCGAAAGCGUGGGGAGCAAACAGGAUUAGAUACCCUGGUAGUCCACGCCGUAAACG